CGCACCGCUCUGAUUUCAUUAUUUCCUUUACAAUUAUCAAAUCAACUCCGCUUCCGAGGGAGGGCACUUCGCUUAACUCGGACAGCGCCGCGCCCCGCCCGCCGCCGCUCCGUCUCCGGGCACCGGGCGGCCUCCAAACCCCUCCUGGGGGGAGGAAGGGGGUAGAAGCAAUAAAAGAAAAAAAAAGAAAAGAAAAGGGAAAAAAAGAAAAAAAAAAGAAAAAGAGGAAAAAAAAUCCCACCGCCUGCGCUCGGUACACACGCACCUACUCGGCCGAUGACGGAGCAAAUGAAAGUUUCAUUCUUUUUGGCCCCCCAAAAAUGCCCCUCGAAGCUCUCGGAAAGAGCGGAGGGCACCGAUUCGUCCCUCGGCUCCGUCCGCACAGCGCUCCCCCCGCCCCGCGUUGUGCCGCUGCUCCGCGUCCCGGAGCGCUUCCCGGAGCCCUUCCGCGGUGUCUGCGCGGAGCGGACGCGCCCCAGGUACGGCGCUGACAUUGAUGUCACCGCAUUAGAGUUAAUGGCAGCAGCCUGCUCCUCAUUAUUAAUUGUCUUUGUGUUUGGAUAAAGUAUGUAAUCUUCUCCUCAACCACACCAUUAAAAUAGGUUGCCUUUUCAAUUAAGAACUGUCUUGAGCGCAGCAGUCAAUUUUCCUAAUGAAGAUGCAUUAUAUUUUCACUUUUUUUUUUUCCUUUCUUUUUAAUAAUGGGAAAAUCCCACGUUUUCAUUAGGCGUGAUUAGGGAGAAAGUAAGAGAGGCGGUUUGGCUGAACUCGAUGCGGCCCGUGCGGUGUAUUAAGCGCUUUUAAAUAAAUUGCAAUUUCCUAGAGCCGAGGAGCGGGUUGGGGUACACAUACGGCCGCGUUCGCUUCCUUCAGAUUAAUAAAAUGCGAAGCCCUUUCUUUAAAGCGCACUCAUCAGAUGGAAAAUAGUGAUUAAACCAACUCCAGCCCACUCUUAGCCGCAAUUACUCGGGUAAACUUUUCGCCCAGCCCCGCUCGCUUCGUAUUAAACCUGAGGAUGAUGCUCUGCGAUAGACUUGCUGCUAAUGUGCGGCUUUGGGGAGCAAAUAGCGCGGUUUAAUCACGCAGAAACGCAUCGGGAUGGGCUCGGCAUUAAUUUCCCCAAAUAAACGCGCAUUGUUUCAUACGGAGCUCCCACCGGAGAACGGCAGCCCCGGGGCUUUGGAAAGGAGGAAGGUUUGGGGGGACUCGGAGGGGUAAAAAGACGCUGGAAAAAAAACCAGAAAUUGCACAGCGUGGAAGCAAAGGGUUAAAUUUUACAUGAUGGAAAACACUUAAAAAAAAAAUCAACCAAAGAAAUGAAAAGAGAAGGAGAAAAGAAAGGGAGGGGGGGAAGAAAAGAGGGGGGGAGAAAAAAAGCGCUACGGGAAAAAAGAAAGUGCGGUGUUUGCGCGCUGCGGGGGGACGGGCGUGGGUAGCAGCGCGGUGCUGCGCUCUGGGACCUUUGUUAGGGACAAACGGAGAGGAGGGGAACCCAUCGGCACCGACCGCUUCGGGAAGGGGAAAAAAACCCAUCACUGCGCCCUUCGGUUUUCAAGUUUGGCGAACCAACAGCACCGCUGCCUGCAGAGGGGAACGGAGUUGGGCUUAAGGCAGCCAGCGGCUAAAGAAGAUCUGCAAAGAGUGGCAAAGAAGAUUUUCGAUUAAAAGCUGAGCCCCAUCUCCCCGGAUUACUUUAUAUCGAUUUUUAUAUAUACGGCUGCGAUUGAUGGGCUCUAAUUAAAAAUCCAAAGGUGGGGGGGUGGGGGGUGUGGGGGGGAGUUCUUUCUGGGUCUCAAUAAAAAGAGCUUUUCAUAUACGGGGAAUAAAGGUUGGAAAAGGUUACAAACGAAAGAGCAGUUUAAAGCUUCUCUGCGGUUUUCUUUUCUUCUUUCUUACAAAACCCUUUUUCUGGCUCUUUCUCUCCCUCGCCCACCCCCCCCCCCUUCCCUCGACCCCUUCAUUUCUCCCAAGUUUGCCAACAUUCAAAGAUAUUGGACUGGAACCGUUAUUUUAAUAUCUGGGUUGGGAGCUGUAAUCUCACUGCUGUAGGACUCUGCUCGUCAGGGGAACUUCGUGGCCUGGAGAGGACUAUGAUGGAAACAGGCAGUGGGAGAGCCUGCCAGCAGCAUGCACAGACAGACACGUGGACAGACACACCAACACACGGACAUACAGACACACAGAUAGGUGGACACAGACACACGGACACAUAGACACAGUGCCACAUGGACUUGGACGUAUGGACAUACACGGACAUAGACAUGCAGACACAUGGAUACAUAGAUAUGUGGACACAUGGGGAUGGGGACAGAUGGACACACAGAUGAACACACAGACACACAGACACACAGACCCACUCCCCAUCCUCCCCAUUCGUGCUCUCCUCCUCCCCUAUCCCAAAUACUUAUUUUAAUUUCAUUUCUGCUGGUGAUUUAUUUCCCUUCCUAAGUUUUUCUUUUGGAGGGGAUUUUUCUUUCUGCAUUUUCUUUGCCUAUUUUUUUUGGGGGGGGGGGGAGAGAUGUCCGACCCCCCCCCAUCCCCCCCAGCCCUCCCCAGGUGGGAGCCGACCUCCCUCUCUCUGCUCUCUGCUCUCGAGGUACCACACUUUAGGAGCUGCCCCUCUCCGGGAUAGGCUGUUCCCACACAGUUCGCCCUCAAUGUCUCCUCCACCCCUCCUCCCCCCCCCCCACCCCAACCCUCUCAAAUUAUGAAACUUUCAUCCAGGUGAAGAUAUUGCCUUAAUUUUUUUUCUUUUUGGGGGUCUUUUUUUCCCACGAAAACAACUCCCGAAAACCACGAAAACCACCACCAAAGGAGGUUCCAUCCCAAUCCCAUGCGCUUGCAAAGAGGGGUGGGGGGGUGAGGGGGGGGAAUUACUUUUAACCAUUCCAUUUUCAAACGAAUUCGGCCCCUUCCCGAAGUGGAGAGGCAUUCCCCGUGGCUGCAGCACUGCACCCCCAAAGGAGAGAUUGGGGUGGGGGUUUGGGGGGGGGGGGGGAGGGGGGGAACACAAGAAGAAAAUAAAAACCCCGCCAUUGAAUUGCGGAUAAACUUGAAGGAAAGUGCGGCAUAUUUUAACGAGACACAAAUCCGAUGAGGGGAAAAGCUUAAAACAGCGAUCAGCCCCGGCGGGCAAAGACACGCGGCGAUAACACCACUUCGGAACGGUCGCGUUAGGCAGAAGGGUCGGAAAUUACAGCGGGGGAAGGAGAGCAGAGAGGGGAAAGAGAGGGGAGAAAGAGCGCUACGAGAGAGCGAAGGGAUGGAGCCGAACCCGACUGGCAUCGGAAGUUGAGGAACUUACUGAGCAGCAGAAGUUACAGUUCCUUUCCAUCCCGGGAGCUGAUCUGGGGGUUCUCUGAGCACAAAAGUCGCUCCCCGUUGAGCCCGAGUUAGUGCGGCUCUGUAUACCUGCCCGGAGCUGCUAUCCGAACGGAGCGCAGGAGGUCGGAAAGGGGUUUGGUCGCAUUGGCUGUUUUGUUUGGUUGUUUUUGUUGGUUUUUUUUUCUUUUUCCCUUCCUUAAAAAAUAAUUAAAAAUAAAAUAGUAAUUAAAAAAAAAAAACAGUUCCUACGGCUGCCACUUUUUUUUUUUUCUUUUUUUUUUUGCUUGUUUGGGGGCAACUUUUCCUGAGGCUGAAGGCGGAAUGCGGCUGCAAAGUGCGUGUAGGAUCGCUCCGGGAUGAAGGCUUCCCCCUAUUUUUCCCCCUCUCCGAUCCGAUCUUUGCGAGAGCCAUUCCGACACAUCGCUAAGCUAAAGGGAAAUUCUCUUUGAUAAAGCGGUGUUCCCAGCUUCUGGGUUUUAAAACCUAAAUCUAUAUUCAAAUCUGGCUGAAGGUGUGUUCUGGGAUUUAUGAAAGCCUCUUAAAGGGGUAAAUUUACCAAACCGUGACAAAAUCAUCACAAUCUUACUUUAGACAUCUGAAGUGGAUGGGAAUUUUAAAGAGACCCCUCGUUGCUUUCGGUCGCACCGUCCAUCCCCACCGCUCGCUCCAUUGGCCGCGGGGUCGGUCCCAACUUUGGGGCCGGGGCGGGCAGCGCUGUGCCCGCGGGCGGCCGCCCCACGGCGCUCGGGUGGACGCAGGGAUGAUGCUCCCAUCUCCCCGUUCCAUUCCCAAGCAUUGAAUUUUCUUUC
ensembl:lncRNA